rfam:Aquimarina atlantica strain 22II-S11-z7 contig7, whole genome shotgun sequence.
GGGGUCGACUGGUUUUGACAGCGAGAUUAAUGGAGUGGUAAGCACGUCGAGCGCUGGGAUAUAGCUCGUAAAUAUCAUAUUUCACUUUUUUAAACGGCGAGAAUAACUACGCCCUAGCUGCAUAAUCUGAAUUUAUAGUAGGAUAGUGCCUCGGUUCACAAGGUGAACAAGCAGGAUACCUCUCAAGAGCCUUGGUUUGCGGCGAUUGAUCAUGAGGUAUCGUAAAAGUAAACCUAGAAAUUAUAGGAUCUUGAUAUAAUUUCGAAACUUAAUUGAGAAUAAGCGAUAAGUUGGCGGUUUUUGGUCUUUCUUAUCGACGAAAAUUAAACAAAAACUAAACGUGUAGAAAGCUAUUGUAUUACUUGUUUGGACGAGGGUUCGAAUCCCUCCGACUCCACUA